AACGAACGCUGGCGGCAGGCCUAACACAUGCAAGUCGAGCGGACCCUUCGGGGUUAGCGGCGGACGGGUGAGUAACGCGUGGGAAUAUGCCCUUCUCUACGGAAUAGUCCUGGGAAACUGGGGGGAAUACCGUAUACGCCCUUUGGGGGAAAGAUUUAUCGGGGAAGGAUUAGCCCGCGUUGGAUUAGGUAGUUGGUGGGGUAAUGGCCUACCAAGCCGACGAUCCAUAGCUGGUUUGAGAGGAUGAUCAGCCACACUGGGACUGAGACACGGCCCAGACUCCUACGGGAGGCAGCAGUGGGGAAUCUUAGACAAUGGGGGCAACCCUGAUCUAGCCAUGCCGCGUGAGUGAUGAAGGCCUUAGGGUUGUAAAGCUCUUUCAGCUGGGAAGAUAAUGACGGUACCAGCAGAAGAAGCCCCGGCUAACUCCGUG
rnacentral:rRNA from 1 species